rnacentral:rRNA from 1 species
UUCGCAAUGCCCGAAAGGGUGACGAAGCGACGCCGCGUGCGGGAAGAAGGCCUUCGGGUUGUAAACCGCUGUCGGGAGUUAAGAAAUGUAAGGAUGUUAAUAGCAUCUUUGCUUGACUAAGGCUCCGGAGGAAGCCACGGCUAACUCUGUGCCAGCAGCCGCGGUAAUACAGAGGCGGCAAGCGUUGUUCGGAAUUAUUGGGCGUAAAGAGCACGUAGGCGGCUUUGCAAGUCAGUUGUGAAAGCCUUCCGCUUAACGGAAGAACAGCAGCUGAUACUACAAAGCUUGAGUACGGAAGGGGAGAGUGGAACUUCUGGUGGAGCGGUGAAAUGCGUAGAUAUCAGAAGGAACGCCGGCGGCGAAAGCGACUCUCUGGUCCGAAACUGACGCUGAGUGUGCGAAAGCUAGGGGAGCAAACGGGAUUAGAUACCCCGGUAGUCCUAGCCGUAAACGAUGGGCACUAAGUAGAGGGGUUUU